UACGUAGGGUGCAAGCGUUGUCCGGAAUUAUUGGGCGUAAAGAGCUCGUAGGCGGUCUGUCGCGUCGGGAUGUGAAAAUCCAGGGCUCAACCCUGGACCUGCAUUCGAUACGGGGCAGACUAGAGUUCGGUAGGGGGAGACUGGAAUUCCUGGUGUAGCGGUGAAAUGCGCAGAUAUCAGGAGGAACACCGGUGGCGAAGGCGGGUCUCUGGGCCGAAACUGACGCUGAGACGCGAAAGCGUGGGGAGCAAACAGG
rnacentral:rRNA from 1 species